CAAAAGUUUUAUUCUAGCUUAGAAUUUGGGUAUAGUUUUAUUUUACAUGCAAGUUUGGUCGUUUAGGCUUGGGUUUAAAUAACUUCGCUUUUAUUUUGGCAGUAGGGAAAUUUAAAUAUCAAUGUUUGUUGGAUUUAGGAAUAACUAGUUAAGUAUUGACAAAAUUUGUGCCAGCAGUUGCGGUUACACAGAUAAUAUCACUCAAGUUGUUCGGUGUUAGUCAUUUCGUUUUUUUACUUAAAAUUGUAAAUUGUUAGGUGAAAUUUUAAUUUACAACAAGGUUGAUUAUUGGUUAAUGAGGCUGAGAAACUCUUUUUAAGACUAGGAUUAGAUACCCUAUUAUACGGAGUGUGAAAUUGGGGGCUGGGUUAGUAGUAGUUAUGUUCUUGAAAAUUAAAGAUUUUGGCGGUACUUUAGUCCAUUCAGAGGAACCUGUCCUGUAAUCGAUGGUCCACGAUUUUAUUUACUUCCUUUUUUAGUUUAUAUAUCGUCGUAGUUGGAAUAUGUUAGUAGAUAUAAAAUUUUCAUAAUUCUCAUUAAGAAAUAAAUCAGAUCAAGGUGUAGCUUAUGGGGGAGCAGUGAUGGGUUACAUUAAAUUUAUUUAUUCAGGAUUUUUAUAAUUGGUUAUCGAAUGAAUUUGGAUUUGAGGGUAAUUUUAACUAAAUAGUUAUAAUGAUUUAGGCUCUAAGGUAUGCACAUAUCGCCCGUCGCUUUCGCCCUAAGGCGAAAUAAGUCGUAACAUAGUAGGCCUACCGGAAGGUGGGCCUGGAUAGGC
rnacentral:ncRNA from 1 species